rnacentral:tRNA from 1 species
UGGGCUAUAGCCAAGCGGUAAGGCAACGGACUUUGACCCCGUCACUCGUUGGUUCGAAUCCAGCUAGCCCAG